AGUGAACGCUGGCGGUAGGCCUAACACAUGCAAGUCGAACGGCAGCACAGUAAGAGCUUGCUCUUACGGGUGGCGAGUGGCGGACGGGUGAGGAAUACAUCGGACUCUACUUUUUCGUGGGGGAUAACGUAGGGAAACUUACGCUAAUACCGCAUACGACCUACGGGUGAAAGCAGGGGAUCUUCGGACCUUGCGGGAUUGAAUGAGCCGAUGUCGGAUUAGCUAGUUGGCGGGGUUAAGGCCCACCAAGGCGACGAUCCGUAGCUGGUCUGAGAGGAUGAUCGGCCACACUAGAACUGGGACACGGUCCAGACUCCUACGGGAGGCAGCAGUGGGGAAUAUUGGACAAUGGGCGCAAGCCUGAUCCAGCCAUACCGCGUGGGUGAAGGAGGCCUUCGGGUUGUAAAGCCCUUUUGUGGGGAAAGAAAAGCAGCAGGUUAAUACCCCGCUGUUCUGACGGUACCCAAAGAAGAAGCACCGGCUAACUUCGUG
rnacentral:rRNA from 1 species